ACCUUUUGCUGUUGUUGUUGUUCAGUCCCUCAGUCAUGUCCGACUCUUUGUGACCCUAUGGACCGUAGCCCACUAGGCUCCUCUAUCCACAGAAUUCUCCAGGGGCUCUUCCUGACCCAGGGAUUGAACCCAGGUUUCCUGCCUUGCAGGCAGAUUCUUUACCAUCUGAGCCACCAUGGAAGAAGCAACUCCCCAUUCAACUAAAUCUUCUCCACUUGGACGGUUCCAUGUGACACAAACAGGUUGAAUCACUCUCCAGGCUGCCUGGGAAAGUGUUUAAACAAACUCUUCCUCUCUGGCAGCAUCCCUGGAGAGCACCUAAGGGAAUUCCACGUCGGCAAGUCCUUAACCUCAGCUCAGAAAACUUUUUCUCGACUGUACUCGGUCAAAACCUGACCCGAACUUAACUGAAGCUAAAUAUUGUCUUUAUCCCUUUUAAGACGAACAUUACCCCUUUUGCAGCAGAAACAUAAACACGUUUGACCACAGGAAACUAUUCCAAACCUACUGGAGCUGUUACAUGAUAUAGAAUAGACGCACCAUAAUCUUUCCAAAAUCUGAAAAAUGCUAAAUUCCACAGCACAUUUCUUCCCUGGGGUUUUGGCUGAGGGUCCCAUCCCUAACAUCGCAGUCACAGGAUGCUCGCAGUGUAGGACGUGGAGCCUGUCAGCCUCUCGUCCAAGAAGCUGAAGAAGGGGGACCCAAAAUACAAGAUGAUGAAGGAGGAGGCUGGUGGAAUUUAGUCAGGAGGAGCCAAGGCUGCAGUGAGACCUUGAAGGUGGAAGGCAAAGGGGCCCAGGAAACAUGGAGAACCCCAUUCUCAGGAGCCUCCCACGUGAGCUGGAGGAGCCGGGAGCCCCCCAAAGAGCCCAAGGUGGGGCCUCAUCUCCUGCCAUUCGCCAUCACCACUGGUGCUUAUGCUGUGACUCCCCUGCUCAGCCAGGCCCUCAGCAAAGCUCUUCUUGUGUAGUUCACUUAUCUGUGGAGGCUUCAUUAUUUAAAUCGCAACUAAUCCCCAUGUGCGGGCGCUUGCCUGAGAAGUCUGUUUAAUUACCUCCCUUAAACUCCCCGGCGGUACACAGCCUGGUCUGCUUAUUGAUCACCCAGCCCCGCCCACGGCUGGAGCGGCUCCGGAGAACUGGUCAGGAGCAAAUGCCAAGGAAACAAGAAGCACCCCCAAUGGAAAGGUUCUCACUUUGGAUGGAGAGGCACCUUUGCGAAGCAGACAGAUGGAGGUGUGAACAGUCUAUGAACUGCUGGUUACAAUCUUAAAAUGGGGCUCAGAACUGAGGCAUUUUCUCUCUUCCAUUUAAGCCUCUCCGUCUCAAAUUCACAGUGACGCCACUUUAAAUCAUUGGCUUUUCUAUCUACCCCUUUUCUAAUAGUCUAUUUAAAGCUGGAAGAUGAACCUCAUUUUUUUCAAAGUGUAAUUGGAGAGAAUUUGCAUGAUCCAUGAGGUAGCAAGUGGGUACUGAAUUAUGUAUGAUCCCCUCUAAUAGGCCGGAGCUUGUUUGGAAAGUGUGAUCUUAUAAACUACUAGGUUUGCUUUUUAUGGCAAAUUGAACACCAUUCCCCUUUCUUGCUUUACAUAUUCUCCUAAUUAGGGGAGAUAAAAUAGAUUUUUGACCUGAAAAAAAGUUAUUUCUUUCCAAGAGCCCACAUUUGUAUGGAAAAUUAAGCUCAUUUCAGUCAGCUGCACCCUCUAAUUUAGAGCUGUUGUC
ensembl:lncRNA